UAGAGACUACUGAGGCUGCUCC
rnacentral:siRNA from 1 species